GGGGGCGUAGCUCAGUGGUCAGAGCAGCGGGCUCAUAACCUGUUGGUCGCUGGUUCAAGUCCAGCCGCCCCCACCA
rnacentral:tRNA from 3 species